UGAGAUUUAGAAAAGAGCCUGUAAGUUGUAAGUGCUCACUCAGUACCAAGUUUUGGUUCAAUGAAUGAAAGCAGGAAUGACAGAUAAUUCUGGCAGUUUGUAAAAUAUCUGUAGACCAAGACUUAUCUCUGUGAAAGGCCUUGCUGACACUGGAAUGAGUCGACAUGUCUACCAACUCAGAGGGAUAAGGAAAAGGCACUAUACUGCUGGGUCCUGAUAAGAGAAGAAGGUGUCUACAAUGCUGGAGUGGACAGCAGGCUGGAGGGAGAAUCAUUUUGAGAAAGCCCAUGUAUGCGGCAGGUGCAAGUCUCCCAGGUUUGCGGCCUGAGCUCGGCGGGCUGCUGGGUGCAGGGCCCUGGAGACCUCUGCUGGCUAUCUUUGCCCCCAGGGCUGAAUCCCUGACAACUUGAGAAGUGACAAACUGGUUGAAUUAAUUAAGUAGAUUCCAUAUCAACAUAAUUUUACCAGAAACAACAAGAGGAAUCAUCAAAGACCCUUCAGCAGAGCUGGCUGCUCCCAGUCCAUCCUCUUCAUCACACUUGGGCCCCCAAACCAUGAAAAGAAGUUUUCUCAAAAGAUGUGCAAAAGCUACUCACCAUAGCAAAGACAUGGAAUCAACCUAAGUGCCCAUCAACAGUGGACUGGAUAAAGAAAACAUGGUAUCUAUACACUAUGGAAUACUACACAGCCAUAAAAAAAAUAAUGAAAUCAUGUUCUUUGCAGCAACGUGGAUAGACCUGGGGGCCAUUAUCCUGAGAAUCAGUGCAGGAAUAGAAAACCAAAUAUUGCAUGUCAUCACUUAUAAGUGGGAGCUAAACAUGGGGUACACAUGGAAAUAAAGAUGGCAAGAAUUGACACUGGGGACUACUGGGGGGCGGGGCAAGGGCUGAAAAACUAACUAUUGGGUACAAUGCUCACUACCUGGGUGACAGGAUCAACCGUACCCCCAAACCUCAGCAUCGUGCAAUAUAUCUAUGUAACAAACCUGCA
rnacentral:lncRNA from 10 species